CUAAAUUAAGCAAAUUACAAAAUAAAAAAGAAACUCAUGUUAAAAUUACAUUAAUAAAGCAUUUAAAUUUAAAUAAAUAACCAUAAAUCUCAUUAUUUACUUAAACAACUACAUAUUUAUUUUUAAGUUUUAGUUUAUUUUUGAAAAAGUAAAAAAAAAAAUUUGAAUAAAAACAGACUGGAUUUUAUAAAUUCAAAACCAAUCCAAAAAACAAAUAAAGCCCAAAACAAUCAACCUUAGUCCUUAAACAAUACACACAAUAAAAGAAGAAAAAAAUAAAAAAUCAAAACAACAUCCUGUCCCCCACUUUUUCUUUCCAAAAACAUGUAAUAGGCCCAAUUUGCCCGGCCCAUAAUAUAAAAAUCAAAUCAAAAUAAAAAAAUAUAAACCAAAAAAAAGAUUAAUAACAGUCCACAGUCCAAAUACAUGGGCCUAACGUGGCCCAAAUCAAUUAACCUAGCCCAAGCUUAUACCCAACUACACCCGGCCCAAUUACUAUGUGGCCCAAAAACUAAAAGAAAC
rnacentral:lncRNA from 1 species